AGGCCAUGGUGUGGACAAGCUCUUAGUAGUUCUUUGUAUCUUUCCCAAGCUUCAAAAAGUGAUUCACCUUGAUUUUGAGUGAAUCUGGUUAUUUAGUUUCGAAGGAC